rnacentral:tRNA from 1 species
GGUGAGAUAUGCAAGUGGCUAAAGCACGCAGACUGUAAAUCUGUUCACGUUAGUGUUCGCUGGUUCGAAUCCGGCUCUCACCACCA